GAGCGUCUUCAGGCUAUGUUGAGGGCGCGGCGUACGGCUCAGUAACACGUGGCCAACCUACCCUUAGGACGGAGACACCCCGGGAAACUGGGGCUAAUCCCCGAUAGGUGAGGACGCCUGGAAUGGUCUCUCACCCAAAGGACGUUGAAGCCAUGCUUUUCGGCGUUGCCUAAGGAUGGAGCCGCGGCCGAUCAGGUUGUUGGUGAGGUAACGGCUCACCAAGCCUAUAACCGGUACGGGCCAUGAUAGUGGGAGCCCGGAGAUGGGCACUGAGACAAGGGCCCAGGCCCUACGGGGCGCAGCAGUUGCGAAACCUCCACAAUGCACGAAAGUGCGAUGGGGCUAACCCGAGUGCCGUCCGCUGAGGAGGGCUUUUCUCCGCUGUCAGGAGGCGGAGGAAUAAGGAGACGGCAAGACUGCUGUCAGCCGACGCUGUAAUACCAGCUCUCCGAGUGGUAGGGACGAUUAUUGGGCC
rnacentral:rRNA from 1 species